rnacentral:rRNA from 1 species
UACAGAGGUGGCAAGCGUUGUUCGGAAUUACUGGGCGUAAAGGGCGCGUAGGCGGCCUUCUAAGUCAGACGUGAAAUCCCCCGGCUUAACCUGGGAACUGCGUCUGAUACUGGAGGGCUUGAGUAUGGGAGAGGGAUGUAGAAUUCCAGGUGUAGCGGUGAAAAUGCGUAGAUAUCUGGAGGAAUACCGGUGGCGAAGGCGGCAUCCUGGACCAUUACUGACGCUGAGACGCGAAAAGCGUGGGGAGCAAACAGGG